rnacentral:rRNA from 1 species
AGUGAACGCUGGCGGUAGGCCUAACACAUGCAAGUCGAACGGCAGCACAGUAAGAGCUUGCUCUUACGGGUGGCGAGUGGCGGACGGGUGAGGAAUACAUCGGAAUCUACUUUUUCGUGGGGGAUAACGUAGGGAAACUUACGCUAAUACCGCAUACGACCUACGGGUGAAAGCAGUGGAUCUUCGGACCUUGCGCGAUUGAAUGAGCCGAUGUCGGAUUAGCUAGUUGGCGGGGUAAAGGCCCACCAAGGCGACGAUCCGUAGCUGGUCUGAGAGGAUGAUCAGCCACACUGGAACUGAGACACGGUCCAGACUCCUACGGGAGGCAGCAGUGGGGAAUAUUGGACAAUGGGCGCAAGCCUGAUCCAGCCAUACCGCGUGGGUGAAGAAGGCCUUCGGGUUGUAAAGCCCUUUUGUUGGGAAAGAAAUCCAGCCGGCUAAUACCUGGUUGGGAUGACGGUACCCAAAGAAUAAGCACCGGCUAACUUCGUG